rnacentral:lncRNA from 1 species
ACCAAAAGCAGAUAUUUUUGCGCUUGCCCUCACAGUGGUAUGUGCUGCUGGUGCUGAACCUCUUCCGAGAAAUGGAGAUCAAUGGCAUGAAAUCAGACAGGGUAGAUUACCUCGGAUACCACAAGUGCUUUCCCAAGAAUUUACAGAGUUGCUAAAAGUUAUGAUUCAUCCAGAUCCAGAGAGAAGACCUUCAGCAAUGGCACUGGUAAAGCAUUCAGUAUUGCUGUCCGCUUCUAGAAAGAGUGCAGAACAAUUACGAAUAGAAUUGAAUGCCGAAAAGUUCAAAAAUUCACUUUUACAAAAAGAACUCAAGAAAGCACAGAUGGCAAAAGCUGCAGCUGAGGAAAGAGCACUCUUCACUGACCGGAUGGCCACUAGGUCCACCACCCAGAGUAAUAGAACAUCUCGACUUAUUGGAAAGAAAAUGAACCGCUCUGUCAGCCUUACUAUAUACUGAGCUACUCCUUUCCCACCUCCCCCUGAACACUGUGACAAGAGGAAGCUAGGUUGAAAUCACUGAUAGAAUCCAGUUUGCAAUUACUUUCUCGAUUGGUGUCAGUAGUUUUACUGAUUAGGACUUUUAUUGUGAAUUACAGUUGAAAGCUGUAUUUUGAUGAUUGCUAUGUCAGGCUUUCAUCUAAUCUUACCAGUCUGUCUUCUGUAGGAUGUGUCACUGUUGGAUGUUACACCAGCCUUUCCAGGGUUAACCACUGUGGUGGUGUGCUGCUUAUAGUUUGCUGUUGCAUUGUAAUAAAAGGUGUCUUUCCCUGUAGUGACCUGUAAAAAGUACUCAAGGGCUUUAUUACAGACAUACCCUCCCUUUGAAAAGGGACAUGCUAAAAGACUCAUUACUACUCAGCCUUCAAUGUACCUGUGUGUCCAUCUUAUAUUUCUUUUUUUUUUAAUUGUGAAUUAGACUUGUAUAUCCCACUGGGAGCACUUUGUAGGCAUUGCAUGAACCAUGGGAUGAUGAUUCUGUGGAGGUAUUGCCUUGUGAAUUUGCUGCUAUUUUAGUUUUGUCUUUGCUGUAAACUUGUAGCAUUAAACAAUCAUUGUUGUUAAUAGGUCUUCUUUUUGAAACAAUUAUGUGAAAUGUAUAGCUGCUUUUGAUGAAAAGCAGCUAUUUGCCUUUUUUUUUUUUUCCUUUGAACUUUGAAGCUAGUGCAUUGGAAAAAUGCACCCUUUCCCUCCUUUGGAAUGCUGUAUUAAUGUAGUAUAAUAAUUACUGGUUUUGUAACUUGUUCUGGUAAUGUCCUUCCCGGACUCUUUUUAAAUGUCUCCCCCUAAGUUUUAUACUUGAUUGUAUUAUUAGUCUGUUUUUAAAUGUUUUGCCCGGUUUUUCUCUUCAAUAUUUGUGUAUAUAAACCGAUCUUCGUGAUACUGUACAUAGCUGUUUGAAAUGCCAGAAUGACUUCUGACAUUCCAAGUUUUUCACAAAAUAUAUUUUAUCUGUGAUUAGCCAUUUGACUAAUAAUACUGGCUAACAGAUGUUGAAAAAAAUUGUCUGUUUGUUUUCUCAUUAAUUUUGGUCUAAAACAUGUUUGCACUUGUCUUUGACUUGUGUUUUAUUAACAUUGAUUGGCAUAUUAAAAGUCACUCUGAGCUUACCUUAAUUGUC